GUGAAGAACGCAGCGAAAUGCGAUAAGUAGUGUGAAUUGCAGAAUUCAGUGAAUCAUCGAAUCUUUGAACGCACAUUGCGCCCUUUGGUAUUCCAAAGGGCAUGCCUGUUCGAGCGUCAUUUGUACCCUCAAGCUUUGCUUGGUGUUGGGCGUCUUGUCUCUAGCUUUGCUGGAGACUCGCCUUAAAGUAAUUGGCAGCCGGCCUACUGGUUUCGGAGCGCAGCACAAGUCGCACUCUCUAUCAGCAAAGGUCUAGCAUCCAUUAAGCCUUUUUUUCAACUUUUGACCUCGGAUCAGGUAGGGAUACCCGCUGAACUUAAGCAUAUCAAUAAGCGGAGGA
rnacentral:misc_RNA from 1 species